AAAAUUAUGAGUGUUCAACGAUCUUUAAUUUUUUUGUCAAAACAUUAAGAAAAUUCUUGCUGUCAGUUACAAAUGUGUAGGAAAAUUAAAACAUAGUAGAAAAACGAUGUUUCUUUGGUAAAGUAAUUGAAAGCAUUUGAAACACUGAGCAUAAAGACAUCUUACUUCUUUGUAAAAAAUUUAUCAAGAGUAGUCUGAAUAGUGAUUGACUUCUCUUUGUUUAAUUUAUGAUACACAGUGAGCAUUUUGGUGAACUGUCAUACUCCUUUCUGAGUCUGAAUCAGCUUUUCAACAUUUCAUUCUGUGUGCUUUCAAAAUCAUCAAAUAUCUCUGAGUGUGCCUUUCAUGUGAAGUCCCUUGCAAGCAUCACUUCCUCUAGGACAUAGCUCCUUUUUCAAAAAUCCUUCCUCACUGAAGUCAAUACAUUUGCCUUCGCUGACUUCUGGCUGCAACAAACUAAGGUGACUGCAGGAGUGUCCACAUCCCGUGAUCCUCUACGACUCCAGUAACAUUAGAGUCUGGAGAAGGUGACGGCCCCCCACUCCAGUCCUCUUGCCUGGAAAACCCCAUGGAUGGAGGAGCCUGGUGGGCUGCAGUCCAUGGGGUCUUGAAGAGUCGGACACGACUGAGCGACUUCACUUUCACUUUUCACUUUCAUGCAUUGGAGAAGGCAAUGGCAACCCACUCCAGUGUUCUUGCCUGGAGAAUCCCAGGGAUGGGAGAGCCUGGUGGGCUGCUGUCUAUGGGGUCGCACAGAGUCGGACGACUGAAGCGACUUAGCAGCAGCAGCAACAUUAGAAUCAGGUUCCACCUCCGGAAGUAUCUCUUUUUGUUUCCUGCUGCACUGUGAUCUUUUUUAGCCAGUUCCCGCUUCCACUUACCCCUUUUUAUAACGUGUCACAGGUUUAUCCCUGGGAGAUAAAGAAGCAAAACAAGCGCACAUGUUGCUGUCUGCGUGUCAUCUGAAUCAUAGACUGUUAUUCAUUGUUAUCCAGAUUGUACAGUGACCAGUCACCAACAGACUUUGGAAGAAGGGAUGUGAUCAUUCACUGAUCAUGAGGCUGUGCAACAGAGAGUGAGACCUCGGGAGGAGCCCAGCAGUCUCCUUGAAUUGACAAGGUGGGGCUGGGAGUCCAGGGAGAUCAAGGUAGCCAGAGUUCAUAGGGCAGAGCACAGGAAGGGAGAGAGCUGCCCGAAGAGAUAACCCUGGAGACUUGCAGGCAUCGCCUUCAAGUGUUAGCAGAGUGCUGAGAAAUGGGGUAGGGAAGUCUCCAACAAUAAUGGAGAAUUAGUCUAAUUCUCUGUUCAUCUCUAUCUGUUUUGAUUCACUUACUUUGAGACUAUGUUGUUUGGUGUGUCCAUGUUUAGGGUUGUUGUGACUUCUUGGUGGAUUGGUCUCAUUACGUAAUCAUGUGUGUUUCUCUCAAUGGAUAAUGGAGCAUGAGUGUCUUAUUGCUGGCUUCUGUGUGACUUGUUAAUGAUCCUCACUCCUGGACUUUGACCCUGAUCUGGUCCUUAAGUACUCUAAAGUUUGCCAUUGUUGGCUUGUGGAACCGUACACCAUUAUUUAACUUCCUUAAGCUGAAGAUUUCUCAUGUGUCCAUCAAGGGAGUCCAGUGGAUGACUUUUAAGGUGUUUUCCCCUCUGAAA
ensembl:lncRNA